GUGCUCAUGGGCGCCGUCGAGGGCUACCGCAUUGCCGGCGGCCCGCUCGGCGAGGUCGUCGACCCGCUCUACCCCGGCGGCAGCUUCGACCCCCUCGGCCUGGCCGACGACCCCGAGGCCUUCGCCGAGCUCAAGGUGAAGGAGCUCAAGAACGGCCGCCUCGCCAUGUUCUCCAUGUUCGGAUUCUUCGUCCAGGCCAUCGUCACCGGCAAGGGCCCACUCGAGAACCUCGCCGACCACCUCGCCGACCCGGUCAACAACAACGCCUGGGCCUACGCCACCAACUUCGUCCCCGGCAACUAAGCUCCAUCCGCUCUGCAACUUCAUUGUCUUCCGGAGGGGGCGUAC
rnacentral:lncRNA from 1 species